AUUGAACGCUGGCGGAAUGCUUUACACAUGCAAGUCGAACGGCAGCACGGGGCAACCUGGUGGCGAGUGGCGAACGGGUGAGUAAUAUAUCGGAACGUGCCCAAUCGUGGGGGAUAACGUAGCGAAAGUUACGCUAAUACCGCAUACGAUCUACGGAUGAAAGCGGGGGGAUCGCAAGACCUCGCGCGAAUGGAGCGGCCGAUAUCAGAUUAGGUAGUUGGUGGGGUAAAGGCUCACCAAGCCAACGAUCUGUAGCUGGUCUGAGAGGACGACCAGCCACACUGGAACUGAGACACGGUCCAGACUCCUACGGGAGGCAGCAGUGGGGAAUUUUGGACAAAUGGGCGGCAAGCCUGAUCCAGCCAUGCCGCGUGAGUGAAGAAGGCC
rnacentral:rRNA from 1 species